rnacentral:rRNA from 1 species
UACGGAGGGGGCUAGCGUUAUUCGGAAUUACUGGGCGUAAAGCGCACGUAGGCGGAUCUGCAAGUCAGAGGUGAAAUCCCAGGGCUCAACCUUGGAACUGCCUUUGAAACUGCGGGUCUUGAGUUCGAGAGAGGUGAGUGGAAUUCCGAGUGUAGAGGUGAAAUUCGUAGAUCUUCGGAAGAACACCAGUGGCGCAGGCGACUCACUGGCCCAUUACUGACGCUGAGGCUCGAAAGCGUGGGGAGCAAACAGG